rnacentral:misc_RNA from 1 species
AGAUUAUCCAUUUUUGAUAAGAUCUUUUCAGCAUACCAUGAGGCAAGGAGCUCCAUUCGCGGUGACUUGGUCAGUGCUGGAAAUGCUGAAAAUGUUAAAGAUGAUUUAAGUGGUCUUGAUAAAGCUGUUAGUGCAGUGUUGGGUCAAAGGACAAUAGAACGCAACCAGUUAUUGGUAAAAAUUGCAAAGAGCAAACUUGUUAGGCGUCAUGAUGAAAAGAAUGAGAAAGUUACCAAG